UAAACGCUGGCGGCGCACAUAAGACAUGCAAGUCGAACGGAAGUCGUUAUAAAAUGGAAUGAAGAUUUAUCUAAGUGAAGUUUUGUAACAAUGGCUUUAGUGGCGGACUGGUGAGUAACACGUAAGCAAUCUGCCUAUUAGAGGGGAAUAACAAUGAGAAAUCAUUGCUAAUACCGCAUAAGCUUGUAGUACCGCAUGGUACAGCAAGAAAAGGAGCAAUCCGCUAAUAGAUGAGCUUGCGGCUGAUUAGCUAGUUGGUGUGGUAACGGCAUACCAAGGCAACGAUCAGUAGCCGGGCUGAGAGGCUCUGCGGCCACAUUGGGACUGAGAUACGGCCCAGACUCCUACGGGAGGCAGCAGUCGGGAAUUUUGCGCAAUGGAGGAAACUCUGACGCAGUGACGCCGCGUAUAGGAAGAAGGUUUUCGGAUUGUAAACUAUUUUAGUCAGGGAAGAAAAUGACAGUACCUGGAGAAUAAGCUCCGGCUAACUACGUG
rnacentral:rRNA from 1 species